CAGGAAGUGCUUUAGUCAGGGAGAAGGGUAUGGAGGGUUAGUUUCUAUCCUCUGGCUGUUUAGCACAGAGGUUUUAGUAGGAGUGGUCAGUGAAAAGAGGAAUCUGCAUUCCUUCCAAGAUUCACUGACACAAACAUGGAGUCAACGGCUGCAGGGAAAAAGUCAGAACACCCACCCAAAAUGAUAAAGAUGAAACACAGAAUCCCAGGCCACCUGGUACUCAACCUGCCAGAUAGCGAUGCACGGCUUGCUGGGCGACAGCUUCAUCUCCUGCUGAAACAAUGCAGCCCCUUCUGUGCCUGUCUCACUUAGCGCUGUCACUGCAGCCAUUAUGAAAUUGGGGUUUCAUUUACACACUAAUUAAACAUUAC